CAAUUUCUUUUUCCGCCGGUGGGUGCUCAUCACAACCUCAAGCUUUACUUCGCAACGCCAGGUGCUCUAGAGUCUGGAGCGCUCAAAGGCUUUGAAGAGGUGGAAAGUGGCGCAGUCACGUUUUCGUGUGAAUUGUGAAGUUAAAGGCAGAUCACCGUGCAACUUGGUGAAGUCAUGUGUCUUUCCAGAUGGCCAAAUAUGUACCCCUCUAAAAAACUUUAUUAAAUGCCAUGAUAGACAAGAUGAGCCUUAAGAGGAGAUUUGGGAAGAUGCUGUUUCAUAAGUCUUUGCUUUGCCAGAUUAUCUGUGGUUGGGGUGUCUGCCAACGUGAUGCCUUGCUGGUCUGGUUUGAGUUUGAAGUCUCUCACAGACAGUCCAGAAGGUCUGGAGUCCAUCUUAGCUUUCAUUGAUGCUGUCAUCAUUUUUUAAGUGCAUGAGCCAGAAUGGACGGGUGGUGGUGGCCAUAAGAAGACUGUCAACUAAACUAGGGUGACCAUACGUGCCAUUCUUCCCGGACCCGUCCUGUCCAGUCUUUUGGAACUCGUAUUUGUCGACCGCAUACGUCACAGCCCAGCAAACAGGGGACGUCCUCCGGAC